UUUGCAAUGCACAGUGCUGGAAUUCUGGGCUCCAGGCUACUGAUUGCUCUUAUACUCCCCGGCUUCGCCGGCCGGACUCCAGUUCCAAAGGCUGGGCGAGGAAGCAACUAAUGUAGCAAGAAGCUGUGCCUGUUACCACUUGGGGUCUUUGGCCAGCGGGCGCAGAAAUUAAUUCGGUGCACCUGCAUUUUGACUGCCACCCAUCCCCAUGGGGUCAGAGGUGGAACUUCCCAUUUGCAGCCUCAUGUUAGUGCCGAUUGGAUUUUGAAUUUGGGAUCAUUUUGGAUUUUUGAGUUUUAAGAUUUUCACAGAAGAUUAAAACUAUCAGAGUGRUUGUGAAAGCUGGUCCGUGGCUGGCAGUAGAAAUGAUGUGGCAGGUCUUUGUCAUGUGACUCUGCAUGAAGCCCAUUGGCCAAAAGGRUCUGGGUGAAUCAAAAGGCAAAGCACUUUAACCCACUGCAGCCACGUGUGUAGCUUGAUCUCGUCCCUGAGCUCCACAGUAAUCUUUUUUUCUUUUCCUUCUACAAAAAAAAGUGUCAGUCUAGGGCUUAUUAGAUAUGUCUUCACAUAACCUAGGAAGAAAUUUUUAAAACAACACUUAUUUCAGGACUGAAAGCUAUCCGGAAAACUGGAGAAACGCUGACUGUCACUGUAAGGAAAUGAAAAACAGGAGGUGACAUGUUUGUGUUGGGCAGAUGGGAAGUGGCUUUCUGUAUUUCCAUAGGUAAUUAUGACAUCAUCAAGGAAAUGUGAGAAAGCCAUUAGCAUUGCACAGAUGCCUGCUGAUCUGUUUCUGAACGUUGUUCGGUUGAACUCAACCACAGUUGCACGUCUACUUUUUCAAAGUAUGUGUGAUGUUUUAGUUUUGUUAAUUUGUUUUGAGUUAAAAUAUGUGAUCCCUCUUAAAUAUUCCAUUUCUAAAUCACUUCUAAAAUUAAGACUAAAGUAAUGAAUUCACGUAAUGCUGACAUUUCAGAAAAUAGCUAUCCUAUUGUUAAUAGUGGAAUUACGAGAAAUAAGUCCUUCUGUAAUAAGCAGUACCUAUUGUCAAUAUUUAUUUGAAUAGCUAACUGACUAUCUGGAGGAUGUGUGUUUUCUUGCAAGCCUAGGAUGCUAGAAAUAUAAGGAAGCGUUAUGCUUCCUUUCUCUGGCAAGAGCAGUAUAUUUGCUCUCUGUGGGGACCUGUUGGUCACUGAGCAAAUCACUGUUCUACGUAUAACCUUGAUGAUUUACAUGAUUCUCUAAAAAGCACACACUCAGGGUUUUGUUCCAAAAGCAUAAUAU